GGUCCGAUAGCAGCCCUGCCCGUGGCUUAUAGGACGACUACAGAGGAGCCAACUUUCCAAUCACUGACUGAUCCCUCAGACGGCUCAAGGAUUUUUCCUGACGACCUCGAAUGUAAAAUGAGUUGUUGCAAAGAUUUUGUUGACUUUGGUGAGAAGUGUAAAGAGAUUGGCAUCCAGUACGUUGGAAUAUGUUGUGGCAACGAAUCCAAAUUCACCCGUAGCCUCGCUGAAUCCUUAGGACGUAAACCAGAGGCGUCACGCUACUCGACUGAUAUGUCUCAGCACUACACGUUAGGCAAUGAUCCUUCGUUUAAGAAGUGCUACACAGUUGAACUCAAAGCAGCGAUUUAAUUUGAGGUUCAUAUUAAGCCUACUAGAUAUUGUCCCAGUAAUGAAUAUCCGCUAAGGCAGUUGAUUUAUAUAGCCAUAAAAGUUCUUAAUUUUUGUUCAAUUACUUUAUUAAGUCCAAUGACUGUGAAACAAACCCGGGACCAGGGUCUAGGGGGACUAAGAAUAUGUCAGUACAUAAAUCACUUUAUACAUUUUCGAAGUGUGAAAAACAAAAUUACUGAAAUUGCAGUGUACUCAGAAACACACAAUCCUGACCUGAUUAUAGGUAACGAAUGGCUCGAUGAAUCCAUCUUUAGCUCAGAAAUGUUCCCAGCAAAUUAUUCUGUUAUUAGAAAAGACAGACCGCCAAACUCCAAAGGUAGUAGUUACGGAGGUGUCCUUAUAUGUACUAGAAAGGGUAUUCCUGUCAUCCAUAAAUUAGGUUUAGAUACUGACGUGGAAAUUGUAUCAUAUGGCAACAGAUUGAUGUUUUCCGAGCCAAACCGCCUAGUGCAUAGCUAAUUAGGCUUCGAGAUUCAAAAUGCGUGAGUAUAGUCAUGUUUGGAUUGCUGGGGACUUUAACAUGGAUGCAACUGAUUGGCCUAAUCAAGAUUUGGAUUCUGGUGUACCAUGUUCGUACCCGACUAUAUGUAAAGAAAGUUUGGACUGGAACAGAUGGUCACAAAUCCCACUAGGAUCAACAGGACACUGGAUCUGUUCUUUACUAAUAAACCAAAUAAAUAAGGGACCACGAUGGUAAUUGUUGAGAUUAUAGUUGCUAGGAAAAUUCUUUUAUUUGAAAAAGCUAUCAUAUAGGCGAUUUGAGAAAGGAUGCAAAUGGGAUAAGUAGUGAUUGUUUUCGAAAAUAGAACUUAAAAUGAAAACAAAAAUAGGACAAAUAACCUCUGGAACGAAUUCAAAGAGUAGAAAAUUCCCCCCACCUCCAAUUAUUAUUACGGUAUAAUAUUGUGAAAUAAAUUGAUAUUGGUUGUACAGUAUAGGCUUUAAGCAUAAUCUGUAUCGUAUGUACCUACCAUGCACUGUAAAAAUAAGCAAACUGUCUAAAUAACAUUAUUUAAACUAUUAUUAACUAUUAUUAUUCUCUCAUAGUAGGUUCUUUCUUACUAUUGAAACUGCAUUACGAUGUUCGCAACUUUGUAUACAACUUUAUCAUAAUCCUAAGUUGUAAGGUUGUUGUAUUUAUAUCAUACAGCUUAGUAUUCUUAUUCUUAUUCUCAAAAUUUAUCUUAUCUAUAGAAUCUUGUAAGUUGCUAAAUUUGUAACAUUGUUUAAAAUCGCAACUGCAUUUUGUGUGUUUUGCAUCAGCAAAUACGUUAAUAACAUGAUCAAAGUUAAUGCUUCAAUACUAAGAGUGUCAAAGCAGAUAGUAUCUCUUGUCCCAUAGUGUCUCUGAGAUAUGGCAGGAUAAGCUUUAGCUUGCUGAGUGAGCGCUCACAACUAGCGAUUGAAAUACUGUAGCUGCUGUCAACAUGAUUUGAAUUGCUACUCGCAAGUUCGGAAAAACGUUCUCAUCACCGUACUGUACGAUAAACUGCGUUUGGUGUUUGUUCUACUUUUCAACAGCAUCCUGCAAUUUAUUACAUCAUUGUAGGUCUACAGCUCCUUGCCAACUAAGCUGGUAUUUUCCACCUUUCGAAACCUACUGGCUUGGAAGUGUAUACUGAAAUACCCAAAAUUUCCGUGACAUGUGUAGUCAUUACAGAACAAAAUUUAAAAAAAGAGAGAAAACGGUCGAAAUGGCCUUAAAAUAAAUCACAAUCUAUAAAUUUGCCAAUAAAAUUAACUACAUUCAGAUUCUUUAACUGGAAAAUAUUCAUGUCUGACGACAUACAUCAAUUUCGUAAUAUUUUUCUAAAAAGUGCAUAUUUUUUUUACUCACUCUCCUAUUUCAGCGCCCCAAACCCGGCGCCCGGAGCACGUGCCCAACCUUGUCCCCACCCCUAUCUACGCCACUGUAAGUUCACUGAGCCUGAUAGUCAGAUGAUGAUAUUAUACCAAUAAAGAAACACAAGAAUAUUAAAAUUA